rnacentral:rRNA from 1 species
UACGUAGGGAGCGAGCGUUGUCCGGAAUGACUGGGUGUAAAGGGAGCGUAGGCGGGAUGGCAAGUCAGAUGUGAAACCUGAGGGCUCAACCUUCAGACUGCAUUUGAAACUGCUGUUCUUGAGUGAAGUAGAGGUAAGCGGAAUUCCUGGUGUAGCGGUGAAAUGCGUAGAGAUCAGGAGGAACAUCGGUGGCGAAGGCGGCUUACUGGGCUUUUACUGACGCUGAGGCUCGAAAGCGUGGGGAGCAAACAGGAUUAGAUACCCUGGUAGUCCACGCUGUAAACGAUGAUUACUAGGUGUGGGGGGAUUGACCCCUUCCGUGCCGCAGUUAACACAAUAAGUAAUCCACCUGGGGAGUACGACCGCAAGGUUGAA